rnacentral:rRNA from 1 species
GACGGAAGGUGCAAGCGUUGCUCGGAAUCACUGGGCGUAAAGGGUGCGUAGGCGGUCUGUUGCGUCCGCUGUGAAACCGGGCUUAACCCUGGGCUGGCAGUGGAUACGGACAGACUAGAGGUAGGUAGGGGAGAAUGGAAUUCCCGGUGUAGCGGUGAAAUGCGCAGAUAUCGGGAAGAACACCCGUGGCGAAGGCGGUUCUCUGGGACGGUACUGACGCUGAGACGCGAAAGCGUGGGGAGCAAACAGG